rnacentral:rRNA from 1 species
CCUACGGGAGGCUGCAGUCGAGAAUCAUUCACAAUGGGGGAAACCCUGAUGGUGCGACGCCGCGUGGGGGAUUGAAGGUCUUCGGAUUGUAAACCCCUGUCAUGUGGGUGCAAAUUAAAAAGAUAGCACCACAGGAGGAAGCGACGGCUAACGCUGUGCCAGCAGCCGCGGUAAUACAGAGGUCACAAGCGUUGUUCGGAAUCACUGGGCGUAAAGGGUGCGUAGGCUGUUUCGUAAGUCGGGUGUGAAAGGCGGGGGCUCAACCCGCGGACGGCACAUAAUACUGUUAGACUAGAGUGGUGGAGGGGUAACCGGAAUUCUCGGUGUAGCAGUGAAAUGCGUAGAUAUCGAGAGGAACACUCGGGGCGAAGGCGAGUUCCUGGACAUUAACUGACGCUGAGGCACGAAGGCCAGGGGAGCGAAAGGGAUUAGAUACCCUGGUAGUC